rnacentral:lncRNA from 1 species
AGGUCCAGCUAUGCUGCAGAACUCUGCGCAUGCCUGGGAGAGAAAAAGAAAAAGUUGCUCUUUGCUGUAUCCUGUGUCUAGACCGUGCCUGCUCAGCCAAGAUUUGCUGAAGGAGCAUCACAGGACCUAACUGCAAUUCCAGCACUUGGGAGGCGGAGCUGGGGAGAUAGAUAAUCAUCAAGCUUGCCUCGCCUCGCCCCCUGCAGGCCACUUUCCACAUGGUAGGCACAGACCUCCUGUUAACCCUCCCAAUGCCAUACAGUCCUGACUCCUUGACUGGAUCCCACUGCAUCUCACUGCCCACUCUGCCCAGACCUGCUGCUGCCUUGCAAAACUCCUACACACUAUAAAGGCACGCACUCACUGUCGUCAGGAACCCUGUCCCCUUGAAAUCCCUACAGCUUGCUCAGCCAUGA